rnacentral:tRNA from 1 species
GGGCCACUAGCUCAGGUGGUAGAGCACUUGACUUUUAAUCAAGUUGUCCGGGGUUCGAGUCCCCGGUGGCUCACGA